rnacentral:rRNA from 1 species
CCUCGGUGGGGCUGCAGUGGGGAAUAUUGGACAAUGGGCGAAAGCCUGAUCCAGCCAUGCCGCGUGUGUGAAGAAGGCCUUCGGGUUGUAAAGCACUUUCAGUGGGGAAGAAAGCCUUGGGGCUAAUACCCUCGAGGAAGGACAUCACCCACAGAAGAAGCACCGGCUAACUCCGUGCCAGCAGCCGCGGUAAUACGGAGGGUGCGAGCGUUAAUCGGAAUUACUGGGCGUAAAGCGCGCGUAGGCGGUCUGAUAAGCCGGUUGUGAAAGCCCCGGGCUCAACCUGGGAACGGCAUCCGGAACUGUCAGGCUAGAGUGCAGGAGAGGAAGGUAGAAUUCCCGGUGUAGCGGUGAAAUGCGUAGAGAUCGGGAGGAAUACCAGUGGCGAAGGCGGCCUUCUGGACUGACACUGACGCUGAGGUGCGAAAGCGUGGGUAGCAAACAGGAUUAGAUACCCUAGUAGUC